rnacentral:lncRNA from 1 species
UGGCAGCAUCAUAAUGUUAAUUUUACACAGAGAUUGAUAGGUCUAUUAAUGAAAUCUGUUGACUUUAGCAAUCUUUGUUGCAUUAUGUGUCAGUGAUGACCAUUCAAAAAUUUCUCCAAAGUUUGCAUGCCUGUAACUGAAGAAGUACUGUAGAUAUCUUAAUGCCCUUUUAGAUAUUGGGUCUUAACAAACUUUCCGUUUGGUAUCUACAUGGUUCAGAUCCAGAGAUAUUGGGAAUUUCAAUAUGUCUCCAGGAGUAAAUUGUUAAAAUUUGUUAAACCAGCUGAUAUUUUUUUCCAGUUACAUUUUUAAUUAUGUCCAGUUACAUUUACAAUUAUGUAAUUUUGUUACAUGUUACUAGUUACUCCUCAACACUGAAUAUGACAACUCUCAGAUUUUCCUUCUACAACACAAAUUCCAGAUGGCUUUAUAGAGGGUUGAAAAAAAAUAUUUAUUCAUCUCCAAAGGGAAAAAAACACUCUUAACAUGUGGAGUAACAAAAAACUACAUUAAUGUGUGGUUAUACCAUUAGACAGAAUUACAUCUGAUUUCCACCAUUGAGUGUCCAUAAAUGCUAAACUCAAAAUAUCCACUGGAGGGCACCAAACUGGUCCCUCCAAUCUAAAAGCCUACUGUAAAUUGCAUCAUUGCAAAUUAAAACGUUUUCAAAAAGAGGUCUGUCCUGAAUGAGAGUAAGAACAUAUGAAGACAACUUCCUGAGCUGGAGGAAUGAACUGAUCUUCUACUGAUUCUUCACUACUUUUUCUUACCAGCGAUUCUUUUUGAGCGCCGGAGGCCUCUGACAUCACCCUCCGGGGCUUCUGGGGCAGUGGUAGGUUUGGAGGCAUUCUGGGCUUUUAGGGUGGCAGGAGGUUUGGAGGGUUUGGGUGCAAGAGAAUCAGAAGUAGGUUUGGAGGGUUUUGGAGCAGGAGCUUUAGAGGUUUUUAGCGCAGGAGGUGAGGCAGGAGGUUUGGAGGGUUUUGGUGCAAGAGGAUCAGAAGUAGGUUUGGAGGGUUUUGGAGCAGGAGCUUUGGAGGUUGUUAGCACAGGAGGUGAGGCAGGAGGUUUGGACGCAGUCUGGGCUCUCAGGGUGGCAGUAGGUUUGGAGGUUUUAGGAGCAGGAGGAGCUUUGGAGGUUUUAGCGCAGGAGGUGAGGCAGGAGGUUUGGACGCAGUCUGGGCUCUAAGGGUGGCGAGCAGGUUUGGAGGUUUUUGGAGCAGGAGAAGGUUUGGAGGUUUUUGGAGCAGCAGGAUCUUUGGAGGUAUUUGGAGCAGGAGAAGAGGCAGGAGGUUUGGGGUCUAAAGUGUGUUUAGAGACAGUAGAUGGUUUGGUGCCUCUGUGGCCUUUUUGCCGUGGUUUAGUUGACUGUGGUGUCUGCAAGAGUCCAAAGCAAAUUUCAAUGACUAAAAAUGUCUAGGUAUAACUUAAAGGCCCGUUCACACUAGGGCUGCACAGUCAAUCAAAAUUAAAUCACAAAAGCAAUAAAUUGCGAUUAGGCAGAAGCUGCGAUUGUCAUGCGUAUCUUUCAGUGAAGCAUGGUUCUGUGAUCAGCAGUAAAUCUCAAUCCAAAGGCCAGAGGGCGCUCUCGCACUGAAAAUCCAAAUAUGCCCGGAAGAAUAAAUCCGCUGCAGCUGAAUAAACAGAAGAUUUAACUGCAUUCAUUGAUUCAGCGUGACUAAUAAACACACGACUACGAUAUAUGGUUUAUUAAAUGUAUUAAAUAGUGUGUGCCUAUAUUAUUCUGUUUAAGAAGCCACAUCAUCUCACAGAAGGAUUUAUUUCAAACACUCGACUGACAUUAUGAAGUGAGUUUGGAGUAAAAAGUGUUAUUGUCAUAUUCGAGUUGACGUAAUCUCUGCUCUCUGCAAUGGCUGUAAGUCAUCCUCCAUUCAAAC